UUCUAGGGAUGGGGCAUCCUGAGAGCCAAACUGCCAUUAUUGUUAUUUCUGUUCUGGAUUUAGCCACUCAGCGGAGCUACUGGGCUCCAGGCCGGUACUGGGGAAUAUCUGCAAAGAGUCCUGUGAUGUUAUCCGUCUUCAGGUCUUUCAGCCAUGGAUACAAGCACCUGCUCUGGUGGAGGUAGCAGGGAACUGAAGUAGACUCUGUGAGGGGUCCGUGGUUGUAUUUUUAAGUGCACUGAUUUUGUGUUGGCUGGCCUCCAGCCAAAAGGUAGCACUUUCAAAAGUGCAUCAGCUGCAGUAGUAUAGGGAGGAUACAAGCUUGCCCAAGUAUCAGGUGGUGGGCAGGGCUAUAGAGCUCCCAAGAGAUUAUGUCCUUUGUCUCCAGCUACCAGGGUGGGUGGAGAAAGAUCAUCACGUUGAGGCGGGGUUAGGCUGUCUGAGUUCAGACUCUCCUUGGGUGGAGCUUGCUGCAGCUGCUGUGGGGGAUGGAGUUGUGGUUUCCCAGGCCAGUGGAGUUAUGGUCCCAGAGGGAUUAUGGCUGCCACUGCUGCAUCACACAGGUUGCCAGGAAAGUGGGGGAAACCCGGCAACCACAGGCCUCACCCGUCUCCCAUGCAGCCCAAAAGUCCAGUCUCACUCCCACCAUGUCCCCGCAAACAGCACUGAAUUUAUUUCCAGGCAACCAGUGAGCAAGGCUGAGAACUUGUCCCAGGUUACGAGACUCCCAGGUACAGUCAUGUGCCGCAUAAUGACAUUCAGUCAAUGACAGACUGCAUAUAUGAGGUGGUCCUGUAAGGUGAUAAUGGAGCUGAAAAAUUCCUACUACUGAACGACAUCAUAGCCAUUGUAACAUCAUAGCACAACCAAUCACCUUUUCUAUAUUUAGGAGCAAAGGCAAUACAAUGGAGAAGACAGUCUUUUAACAAAGGUGCUGGAAUAACUGGACAGCCAUGCACACACACAGAAAAGAAUCGAGACACAGACUUUACAUCUUCACAAAGGUACAACACUGAAGGCACCGCCCAUGAAAGAAACAACUGAUAGGCUGAACUCCAUUAAAAUUAAAAGCUUUUGCUCUGCAAAUACAAGAGAAUGAGAACACAAACCGUGAUGCUGAAGUUACAAGUCUGAACCACACGUAGACUAUCAUAGCAAGAUGGCUACAGAAGUUCUGGAAAUAUACCAGACGUGGCAAUGCUGCAGAGGAAGGAGGGAGAAUAUGCCUUUCUGCAGAUCUUUCUUGGAGGAGAGAUAAGGAGUUCAUAUGCUGGAAUGAUAGUGACACAGGAGUUUAACACUCCUACAGUAUCCAGAGCCUGGAUCCCUGAGUCAUCAGAUGGAGAAGAACUACUCAGGAGAGUCAUCCAACCUUCAUAGACAGUGGCAUGAGUGGG
rnacentral:lncRNA from 1 species